rnacentral:rRNA from 1 species
CCCGUGAUCCGGGUUGCGGACAGUGUCUGGUGGGUAGUUUGACUGGGGCGGUCUCCUCCUAAAGAGUAACGGAGGAGCACGAAGGUUGGCUAAUCCUGGUCGGACAUCAGGAGGUUAGUGCAAUGGCAUAAGCCAGCUUGACUGCGAGCGUGACGGCGCGAGCAGGUGCGAAAGCAGGUCAUAGUGAUCCGGUGGUUCUGAAUGGAAGGGCCAUCGCUCAACGGAUAAAAGGUACUCCGGGGAUAACAGGCUGAUACCGCCCAAGAGUUCAUAUCGACGGCGGUGUUUGGCACCUCGAUGUCGGCUCAUCACAUCCUGGGGCUGAAGUAGGUCCCAAGGGUAUGGCUGUUCGCCAUUUAAAGUGGUACGCGAGCUGGGUUUAGAACGUCGUGAGACAGUUCGGUCCCUAUCUGCCGUGGGCGCUGGAGAACUGAGGGGGGCUGCUCCUAGUACGAGAGGACCGGAGUGGACGCAUCACUGGUGUUCGGGUUGUCAUGCCAAUGGCACUGCCCGGUAGCUAAAUGCGGAAGAGAUAAGUGCUGAAAGCAUCUAAGCACGAAACUUGCCCCGAGAUGAGUUCUCCCUGACUCCCUGAGAGUCCUGAAGGAACGUUGAAGACGACGACGUUGAUAGGCCGGGUGUGUAAGCGCAGCGAUGCGUUGAGCUAACCGGUACUAAUGAACCGUGAGGCUUAACCUU